rnacentral:rRNA from 1 species
GGCGUGCCUAAUACAUGCAAGUCGAGCGAGCAGAACCAGCAGAUUUACUUCGGUAAUGACGCUGGGGACGCGAGCGGCGGAUGGGUGAGUAACACGUGGGGAACCUGCCCCAUAGUCUGGGAUACCACUUGGAAACAGGUGCUAAUACCGGAUAAGAAAGCAGAUCGCAUGAUCAGCUUAUAAAAGGCGGCGUAAGCUGUCGCUAUGGGAUGGCCCCGCGGUGCAUUAGCUAGUUGGUAAGGUAACGGCUUACCAAGGCAAUGAUGCAUAGCCGAGUUGAGAGACUGAUCGGCCACAUUGGGACUGAGACACGGCCCAAACUCCUACGGGAGGCAGCAGUAGGGAAUCUUCCACAAUGGACGCAAGUCUGAUGGAGCAACGCCGCGUGAGUGAAGAAGGUUUUCGGAUCGUAAAGCUCUGUUGUUGGUGAAGAAGGAUAGAGGCAGUAACUGGCCUUUAUUUGACGGUAAUCAACCAGAAAGUCACGGCUAACUACGUGCCAGCAGCCGCGGUAAUACGUAGGUGGCAAGCGUUGUCCGGAUUUAUUGGGCGUAAAGCGAGCGCAGGCGGAAGAAUAAGUCUGAUGUGAAAGCCCUCGGCUUAACCGAGGAACUGCAUCGGAAACUGUUUUUCUUGAGUGCAGAAGAGGAGAGUGGAACUCCAUGUGUAGCGGUGGAAUGCGUAGAUAUAUGGAAGAACACCAGUGGCGAAGGCGACUCUCUGGUCUGCAACUGACGCUGAGGCUCGAAAGCAUGGGUAGCGAACAGGAUUAGAUACCCUGGUAGUCCAUGCCGUAAACGAUGAGUGCUAAGUGUUGGGAGGUUUCCGCCUCUCAGUGCUGCAGCUAACGCAUUAAGCACUCCGCCUGGGGAGUACGACCGCAAGGUUGAAAC